rnacentral:rRNA from 1 species
AGAGUUUGAUCCUGGCUCAAGAACGAACGCUGGCGGCAGGCUUAACACAUGCAAGUCGAACGCAUCCUUCGGGGUGAGUGGCAGACGGGUGAGUAACACGUGGGAAUCUACCCUUUGCUACGGAACAACUCCGGGAAACUGGAGCUAAUACCGUAUGUGCCCUUCGGGGGAAAGAUUUAUCGCCGAAGGAUCGGCCCGCGUCUGAUUAGCUAGUUGGUGAGGUAACGGCUCACCAAGGCGACGAUCAGUAGCUGGUCUGAGAGGAUGAUCAGCCACAUUGGGACUGAGACACGGCCCAAACUCCUACGGGAGGCAGCAGUGGGGAACAUUGGACAAUGGGCGCAAGCCUGAUCCAGCCAUGCCGCGUGAGUGAUGAAGGCCCUAGGGUUGUAAAGCUCUUUUGUGCGGGAAGAUAAUGACGGUACCGCAAGAAUAAGCCCCGGCUAACUUCGUG